rnacentral:rRNA from 1 species
ACGGGUGAGUAAUACUUGGGCAAUCUACCCUCAAGCGGAAGACAACCUGCCGAAAGGCGGGCUAAUAUUCCAUAAGACCACGGGGUUGCAUAAUCCAGAGGUCAAAGCUCCGCAAGGGGCGCUAGAGGAGGAGCCCGAGGCCUAUCACGGUAGUUGGCGGGGUAACGGCCCACCAAGCCUACGACGGGUAGCCGGCCUGAAAGGGUGAUCGGCCACACUGGCACUGAGACACGGGCCAG